AUUGGUGGAGGCCCAACGCCCUAUUGAGACACUAUAUGUUGGUGUUUCCUUUACUUUGGCAGUUACCUGUAUAUAUAUGCAUGAGAAUAAAUGUCCAUUCAAAUGUAUUUUACAUAUCUCUAAAUACACUCUACACAUGUACAUGGUUAGUUUAGUUCAGGUUGUGAUGGUUAGUUCAGGUUGUGAUGGUUAGUUCAGGUUGUGAUGGUUAGUUUAGUUCAGGUUGUGAUGGUUAGUUUAGUUCAGGUUGUGAUGGUUAGUUUAGUUUGGUUUGUGAUGGUUAGUUUAGUUCAGGUUGUGAUGGUUAGUUUAGUUCAGGUUGUGAUGUGUAGUUCAGGUUGUGAUGGUUAGUUUAGUUCAGGUUGUGAUGGUUAGUUUAGUUCUGGUUUGAUGGUUAGUUUAGUUCUGUUUGUGAUGGUUAGUUUUAGUUCAGGUUGUGAGG